rnacentral:rRNA from 1 species
UACAGAGUGGGCAAGCGUUGUUCGGAAUUACUGGGCGUCAAGGGCGCGUAGGCGGCCUGUUAAGUCGAACGUGAAAUCCCCGGGCUCAACCCGGGAACUGCGUCCGAUACUGGCAGGCUUGAAUCCGGGAGAGGGAUGCGGAAUUCCAGGUGUAGCGGUGAAAUGCGUAGAUAUCUGGAGGAACACCGGUGGCGAAGGCGGCAUCCUGGACCGGCAUUGACGCUGAGGCGCGAAAGCCAGGGGAGCAAACGGG